GCCAGGUGUGGUGGUGCACACCUGUAAUCCCAGUGGCUUGGGAGGCUGAGGCAGUAGGAUUGCAAGUUCAAAGCCAGCCUCAGUAACAGUUAGGCAUUAAGCCACUCAGUAGGACCCUGUCUCUA
rnacentral:sRNA from 1 species